rnacentral:snRNA from 2 species
AUACAUUUCUCGGUUUUUUGGCUAAGAUCUUUUGUGGGUGAGGAUUCAUAUACGUAGCUUGCUACUUGAGUCUUCUUGUAUUGUCCUAUCAGUGCACUACUGCUAGGUCUGAUGCACCCCAA